GGGGCUAGUGAUGUUGCUUGCAGUUUUGGUGGGGUGGGAAUUAAAGUUGACAAGGAUCCAAGCUAUGAUAAUUGCUUGUAUAUGACCACUGGGACCAACAACAAAACUGCAACAAGUAACACGACGGCAAUGGCUUCAACUUCUCACUCCUCAUCAUCACAGGAUAAAGUUUUUGUAUGGGCUUACCGUCUCCUUCUUGUGAUAUUCCUUGCACUUCUGAACAUUGCUUGAUAUAGAAGCAUGAUAAAGUCUGCCAAAAUAGGACGAUAUCCAUGCUUUUCUUUAUAUGCAGGAGGACAUAUGGAUGAGAUUUUUCCUUAGAUUGAACAAGAAUGCGCAACUAGCAUGGAGAUAUCUGCCUGCUAUUAGUUUUGUACAAUAUUUUAGUAGGUGUUAGGAAAUGGCAUGCAAUACUAAUCCAUCGCUGUGAUGAGAUUUAGAGUUUACAUCCGUCUCUAUAUGUCAGUUGUUUGGCUUUUAUGUUCAUGUGCUAUUGAAAUUGCGAGUACAAUCUUUUAAGAUGUCAACUAUGACUGCAAAAAUUUUCCGGGGUGAGAAGACAUGGAGAAAAUUAUCUUCCUAAGUAGAGUUUGGAACUUCA
rnacentral:misc_RNA from 1 species